AACGAACGCUGGCGGCAUGCCUAACACAUGCAAGUCGAACGAAGCCUUCGGGCUUAGUGGCGCACGGGUGCGUAACGCGUGGGAAUCUGCCCCUUGCUUCGGAAUAACAGUUAGAAAUGACUGCUAAUACCGGAUGAAGUCUUCGGACCAAAGAUUUAUCGGCAAGGGAUGAGCCCGCGUAGGAUUAGGUAGUUGGUGGGGUAAAGGCCUACCAAGCCGACGAUCCUUAGCUGGUCUGAGAGGAUGAUCAGCCACACUGGGACUGAGACACGGCCCAGACUCCUACGGGAAGCAGCAGUGGGGAAUAGUGGACAAUGGACGCAAGUCUGAUCCAGCAAUGCCGCGUGAGUGAUGAAGGCCUUAGGGUUGUAAAGCUCUUUUACCAGGGAUGAUAAUGACAGUACCUGGAGAAUAAGCUCCGGCUAACUCCGUG
rnacentral:rRNA from 1 species